GACGAACGCUGGCGGCGUGCUUAACACAUGCAAGUCGAACGGAAAGGCCCUGCUUUUGUGGUGUGCUCGAGUGGCGAACGGGUGAGUAACACGUGAGUAACCUGCCCUUGACUUUGGGUUAACUUCAGGAAACUGGGGCUAAUACCGGAUAGGAGCUCCUGCUGCAUGGUGGGGGCUGGAAAGUUUCGGCGGUUGGGGAUGGACUUGCGGCUUAUCAGCUUUUUGGUGGGGUAGUGGCUUACCAAGGCUUUGACGGGUAGCCGGCCUGAGAGGGUGACCGGCCACAUUGGGACUGAGAUACGGCCCAGACUCCUACGGGAGGCAGCAGUGGGGAAUAUUGCACAAUGGGCGGAAGCCUGAUGCAGCAACGCCGCGUGCGGGAUGACGGCCUUCGGGUUGUAAACCGCUUUCGCCUGUGACGAAGCGUGAGUGACGGUAAUGGGUAAAGAAGCACCGGCUAACUACGUG
rnacentral:rRNA from 1 species